GAUUCACCUUUAAUGAGGCAAGAAGGAGCAGCAUCAGAUUAAUGACCUGCUGCGCUAACCCAAGAAAAGAGAGGAAGCCCAGGCCUCGUGGGAAGGCUUCCUGAAUCUCCGCCAGCAAGCCCGGCUUCAGCUGCAGACGUGGCAGUGACGUCACCUCCAGAGGAGUCCAGCUCCUAGUGUUAGUAUCAACCCCAACUGAUGAAAUGAAUGAUCAUCAAAAUACCCUGUCCUACAUGGGGAUAAACCCAUCUCCAGACACCACACUGGAGCUGAAUGAUGUUGUGUAGGUUGAUGUGUCUCACAUAAGGCCUGUAUUUUCAGAAAACCACACAUUUAUUUAUUUUUAUAUUUUUAUUUCCCCAUAAAGCCCCAUAUUGUUUUUGUGAUAGAAACACUUAUAAAAUUGAAGUCUAAUUUUGGUGUUCAAUAAACAAAUGCAUUUUGUGUACUGCAUUGUGUAUUGCUGUGUGUCAUACUAUACAAAAGCAUCCUAGGAUGGUAGAGGUAUAGAAGACAACUUGAAUUUUGUUUUCAAUAUAUUUCAAUAUAUUCAAUAUAUUGAAAUACAUUUGGACAAAUGAUAGAAAAUCUGUGGAAUAAAAAGAAGAAAGAAGUUCAAAGGAAAACCUAAAAUAUCCCACACUAGCUAAUUCUAAAUCCCUUAGACUUUUCAAAGCCAAGGUAAAUGGGUCAAAAUCUUUAUUAGGAAAGGGUCUAUAGUAGGAAUUGGUAUUAUUCAUGUUCAUAAAAGUGUUAAAGU